rnacentral:rRNA from 1 species
CCUAAAAAACCGUUACUCAGUUCAGAUUGCAGGCUGCAACCCGCCUGCAUGAAGUCGGAAUUGCUAGUAAUCGCGGAUCAGCAUGCCGCGGUGAAUACGUUCCCGGGCCUUGUACACACCGCCCGUCACACCAUGGGAGCCGGUAAUACCCGAAGUCAGUAGUCCAACCACGUGAGGACGCUGCCGAAGGUAGGAUUGGCGACUGGGGUGAAGUCGUAACAAGGUACC